rnacentral:rRNA from 1 species
AACGCGAAGAACCUUACCUGGGCUCGAAAUGUAGAGGGCGACUACAGAGAUGUAGUCUCUCGAAAGAGCCUUUACAUAGGUGCUGCAUGGCUGUCGUCAGCUCGUGCCGUGAGGUGUUUGGUUAAGUCCAGCAACGAGCGCAACCCUUAUCGUUAGUUGCCAACAUGUAAUGGUGGGAACUCUAACGAGACUGCCUGGGUUAACCAGGAGGAAGGUGAGGAUGACGUCAAGUCCGCAUGGCCUUUAUGUCCAGGGCUACACACGUGCUACAAUGGUCGGUACAGAAGGCAGCAGAGUCGUGAGACGAAGCAAAUCCUAUAAAACCGAUCUCAGUUCAGAUUGUAGUCUGCAACUCGGCUACAUGAAGUUGGAAUUGCUAGUAAUGGCGUGUCAGCAACAACGCCGUGAAUACGUUCCCGGGCCUUGUACACACCGCGAGC